UGGGAAUCUGAAAGAGAUGGUGUCAUC
rnacentral:piRNA from 1 species